rnacentral:rRNA from 1 species
ACGCUCGACACCUACGGGCAGCAGUGAGGAAUAUUGGUCAAUGGGCGCUAGCCUGAACCAGCCAAGUAGCGUGAAGGAUGAAGGCUCUAUGGGUCGUAAACUUCUUUUAUAUAAGAAUAAAGUGCAGUAUGUAUACUGUUUUGUAUGUAUUAUAUGAAUAAGGAUCGGCUAACUCCGUGCCAGCAGCCGCGGUAAUCUGAGGCGGGCUGGCAAGGC